rnacentral:rRNA from 1 species
CGUGGGCGUAGGAUAUUUGAGAGGAGCUGUCCUUAGUACGAGAGGACCGGGAUGGACUGACCUCUGGUGCAUCUGUUGUUUUACCAAAAGCACGGCAGAGUAGCCAAGUCGGGACGGGAUAAACGCUGAAGGCAUCUAAGCGUGAAGCCCCCCUCAAGAUGAGAUAUCCCAUACGCAAGUAGUAAGACCCCUUGAAGACGACAAGGUUGAUAGGUCAGAGGUGGAAGUGCAGUAAUGUAUGCAGCUGACUGAUACUAAUAGGUCGAGGGCUUGACCA